rnacentral:rRNA from 1 species
UCCGAGGGGGGCGAGCGUUGUUCGGAAUUAUUGGGCGUAAAGGGCGCGUAGGCGGCCCCUUUUGUCGCGUGUGAAAGCCCCGGGCUCAACCUGGGAGGUGCGCGCGAAACGGGGGGGCUUGAGUUCGGGAGAGGAGCGUGGAAUUCCCAGUGUAGAGGUGAAAUUCGUAGAUAUGGGGAAGAACACCGGUGGCGAAGGCGGCGCUCUGGACCGAGACUGACGCUGAGGCGCGAAAGCGUGGGGAGCAAACAGG